rnacentral:rRNA from 1 species
GAUGAACGCUGGCGGCGUGCUUAACACAUGCAAGUCGAGCGAACAGGUAAGGUUCUUGCUGGUUUCACGUUCGGGGCGGAGGGGAGUGUCACGCGAGGUUCAUCUUCCUGUAAGAUUGGUAUCACUACGGGAAACUGGUGCUAAUUCCGUAUUACAUUUAGAAGCGCGGGGUUUUCGAGUGAAAGACGGUUUUGCUAUCCUUUCUCGCGGUACCUGGGCCGUAUUGUCUAGUUGUUAGGGUAACGGCUUACCAAGGCGACGAUACGUAACCGACCUGAGAGGGUGAUAGGCCACACUGGAACUGAGACACGGUCCAGACUCCUACGGGAGGCAGCAGUAGGGAAUAUUCGGCAAUGGGCGAAAGCCUGACGGAGCAAGGCCGCGUGUGUGAUGAAGGUCUUCGGAUCGUAAAACACUGUUAGUGGGGAAGAACAGCUGUGAAAGGAAACGUGGACGUCUUGACGGUACCGAAUCAAAAAGCACCGGCUAACUACGUG